GGUUCCUACGGGGGGCAGCAGUGAGGAAUAUUGGUCAAUGGGCGCGAGCCUGAUGCAGCAACGCCGCGUGAGCGAAGAAGGUCUUCGGAUCGUAAAGCUCUGUCCUUGAGGAAGAAGGAAGUGACGGUACUCAAGGAGGAAGCCCCGGCUAACUACGUGCUAGCAGCCGCGGUAAUACGUAGGGGGCAAGCGUUAUCCGGAAUUAUUGGGCGUAAAGAGUACGUAGGUGGUUUUGUAAGCGCGGGGUGAAAGGCAGUGGCUUAACUAUUGUAAGCCUUGCGAACUGCAAGACUUGAGUGCAGGAG
rnacentral:rRNA from 1 species